CCACAGUGCGUCACAGAGCUGAGCCCCUCAGCCUCGCCUGUGGGGCAGAGGCUAAAGAAGCAAGAACAGUUUGUGUACAUGUAAAGGCUCAGCUCCCUGACAUGACAGAGGAUAAUAGCUUCAAAGGAAAUUGAGGAAGAGAUAAUCGGCUGGGCCCCACAGCCUGGAGGGUGGCCAGAAGAAAGACCUCCCCACCCCACUCGACUCCACCAC